rnacentral:tRNA from 1 species
GCGCCUAUAGCUCAACUGGAUAGAGCACCAGGCUUCGAACCUGGGGGUUGGGGAUUCGAGUUCCUCUAGGCGCG